rnacentral:antisense_RNA from 1 species
CUUGACCGAGCCCAGCCAGAGCGGACGGCCCGCGGGACGCUGACCGUAGGUCGCGAGGAGCGCGUUGGCCUC